UACGGAGGGUGCAAACGUUGCUCGGAAUUAUUGGGCGUAAAGCGCACGUAGGCGGCCGACUAAGUCGGGUGUGAAAGCCCGGGGCUUAACCCCGGAAGUGCACUCGAAACUGGCCGGCUUGAAUAUGGAAGAGGGUCGCGGAAUUCCCGGUGUAGAGGUGAAAUUCGUAGAUAUCUGGAGGAACACCGGUGGCGAAGGCGGCAUCCUGGACCGACACCGACGCUGAGGAGCGAAAGCCAGGGGAGCAAACGGG
rnacentral:rRNA from 1 species